CUUAGCUCAGUUGGAUAGAGCAACGGCCUUCUAAGCCGUAGGUCACAGGUUCGAGCCCUGUAG
rnacentral:tRNA from 13 species